AAAACCAGUCGAAGCCGCAUUCAUGUUAAGACUCGCUGCAGCUGUGCCAGACCUUUGCACAAGUUCAAUGUUUUCCAAUAAUAUCCUCACCAUGCAUUGAUCUGUGCGAUGUGUCGAAUCGGUUUAUAUAUAUGGCAUAUAUAAGGAGGCAGGUUUUGGGUUUUAUUUUAUUUAAAAAGAAAUAUUUGAAAUGGACUUCAAACUGGGAUUGCUUCUGGUCGUCUGUGCUGCCUUGCCUGGUGAGCACGUAAGAGGCGGAAUGCAGGCGCUCCAAUUAAAGGACUAAAUAAAUCUUUGUUUCUGAACAUUCCAA